AUGAACGCUGGCGGCAGGCCUAAAACAUGCAAGUCGAGCGACCGUAGCAAUACGGGAGCGGCGCACGGGUGAGUAGCACGUGGGAAUAUGCCUUUUGGUACGGAACAACGUCUGGAAACGGACGCUAAUACCGCAUACGCCCUAUGGGGGAAAGAUUUAUCGGCGAGAGAUUAGCCCGCGUCCGAUUAGCUAGUUGGUGAGGUAACGGCUCACCAAGGCGACGAUCGGUAGCUGGUCUGAGAGGAUGAUCAGCCACACUGGGACUGAGACACGGCCCAGACUCCUACGGGAGGCAGCAGUGGGGAAUAUUGGACAAUGGGCGCAAGCCUGAUCCAGCCAUGCCGCGUGAGUGAAGAAGGCCUUAGGGUUGUAAAGCUCUUUCGACGGGGACGAUGAUGACGGUACCCGUAGAAGAAGCCCCGGCUAACUUCGU
rnacentral:rRNA from 1 species